CUUCGUAGGGGAACCUGCGGAGGGAUCAUUA
rnacentral:rRNA from 1 species